UUUCUCUUUUCUCCUUUUCUCUUCAGGGAAAGGAAACCAUUUGUAUGUUGCAUUAAGGAAAAGUGAUUGAAAAGUGGAAGCCCAUACUUUUCCCUUCAGCAAGCGGAGAUCUGUUUUCAGCCUGAUGUUUGGUGAAAGGAAGCUUCAGAGCUGCAGGCCAGCUGCCAGGAAUGUCUGAUUUCCUUUCCACCCACUCCUAUGAUCCUCCCUUUUGGCAGUGAUUACCGAUGACCACAGCUGUCAUGCUAGGUCAUGAUGACUCCUGUUCCAGUUGGGAGGUUGAUCACCUUAGCAAGUUCCAUCUGAACUUCAUUUGGGUUUGCACGAGAGUAUCACGUUGGUUUUAGAUUUUGACAAGACUUCUGCUUUUGAUGCUUAUCCUUACCAGAGAGUGAGAAGACCUUUUUACCGUCACAGCUCUUUUCAAAAGACAUGGGAAAGCAUCUGGAAAGCCAGAUUUUAACAGUGGGCAAGUUAUAAAUAGUAACAUACAGAAUCACACUCCGAACGGAAAUUAUUUGAUUUUUUUCAUUACAACAUUAUAUUACGUUGACUCUGGUUUCCGUGUACUAGAAGCAUGUAUUAUAUCCUUAUCAUAUCCUUAGGUUCCUAGACACAGAGAUCAAUUAACAUAUGUCAAGGGUAAUUUUUACAGUCUAACUGCACCUGGCUAACUAAUAGCACCUACAGAUAUGGACAGAACAAAGUACCAGAAUUUAUGUAUCUUAAAGGAAUUAUUUCCUGUCAGAUGAUGAAGAUGAAAUAAUGGAAAGUAUUCGCUUUUUGUCCAGUCUGUUGGGUUUGAUAUUUUUAUAACUCUUAACCCAGACGAAAUCUUCAACCAUUUUGAAUGUGAAAAAAAAAAUAGAAUUUCUGUCUUUUAUAAGGUACACAUUCAUUAAAAAGGAAACUAAGAAACCAUCUUUAGAGUAAUUCCUUCUAUAAGAAAGAGUCAACACUCCCAACUUGUUCCCUCCACCACACCAAGCUACAGCUUAAAGACACAAUUCUAUAAUUAAAGUGAAAAUAAAUUUUACUUUGUCUUAAUUGAUGCCA
rnacentral:lncRNA from 1 species